CCUGACAGAGAUGAGUCUGAAAUCUUCCAGGAUUUACCUCUUGCCUAGAAAAAAGGAAAGCAAUGUGACCAUGGAGGAAGAGAUUAUAAUGAUGCAUCACAAGCCAAGAAAUGCUACUUCCCCCAAGAAACUGGAAAAGGUGCUCAAAAUGAACCAAUAUAGCAGCUCUGGAGUUGAAGAUGGCCUUCACAGAGCUUCAAGUCAAAGUUAUUGACACUCAAUGAAAAGUGACGCUUGCAGACAUACAGAUUGAACAGCUAAACAGAAUGAAAAAGCACACACAUCUUACAGACAAAAAGAUUAUGACCAGUAGAUAAGACUAACAUACAUGAAGAUGUAGGAAGAAUGUUUAUUCUUCAGUCCUGAAUCCCUUCACCCUAAUACAUUUUCAGAUUCCAACUGUGUGUUUUGUACCCUGGUUCUGCUUGCCAUCUCU